GCCAGACUCCUACGGGAGGCAGCAGUGGGGAAUAUUGGGCAAUGGGCGCAAGCCUGACCCAGCGACGCCGCGUGAGGGAAGACGGUCUUCGGAUUGUAAACCUCUUUCAGCAGGGAAGACAAAAGGACGGUACCUGCAGAAGAAGCCACGGCUAACUACGUGCCAGCAGCCGCGGUAAUACGUAGGGGGCAAGCGUUAUCCGGAUUUACUGGGUGUAAAGGGAGCGUAGACGGCAGCGCAAGUCCGAAGUGAAAGCCCGGGGCCCAACCCCGGGACUGCUUUGGAAACUGUGAAGCUGGAGUGCGGGAGGGGCAGGCGGAAUUCCUGGUGUAGCGGUGAAAUGCGUAGAUAUCAGGAGGAACACCGGCGGCGAAGGCGGCCUGCUGGACCGUAACUGACGUUGAGGCUCGAAAGCGUGGGGAGCAAACAGGAUUAGAUACCCGAGUA
rnacentral:rRNA from 1 species